rnacentral:pre_miRNA from 1 species
UCCCAAAAUUCUUGUCUUAAAUUUGUCUAAAUACAGAUGUAUCUAGUUACAUUUUAGUGUUAGAUACAUCCGUAUCUAAACAAAUGUAAGACAAGAAUUUUGGGA